CAAGGAAACUAGCAAAGACAUUCAUAUUAGAUAUUUACUAAAGUCUCUCUACCACAGAACUCCACUCCUAGAGGCAGUGUGAUAUGGAGCAGCUCUGGAGUCAGAUACCUCUGUACGUGCCACUUAACCUCUCUGCGCCUCUGAUUCUCUCUGAGCAAAAUGAUAGCAAUUGUGACCUGACCAUGCUCUAAAACUGCCUCUUCUCCCACAGAGAACCGGGCCUGCCCGUGACUCACUUCCACCCAGAACAGUGCAGGGGCUUAUUUCUCACUGCCAGGCAAGUACUCUCCUCACAGAUCUAGACACACGGCUACCGGCUACGCUUUUAAGUUGCCGUGAGAGAAGUCUGGCUGCUCUGUUAGAAGUGUCAGGAACAGCCCACGGGAAGAGACCACAGGCAGACACAAGUCCCACCAUCCCAGCUGAGCCCCAGCUGAGCCCAGUCCCUCCCGCCAGGCCUUCCGGAGCACCAGGCAUAGGAAGGAGCUCUCUGGGUUCAGGCUAUACAAAAGAACAUCUGCAGAAACAGCUGGACCCUCUCUGGACCAGGAGGAGAGAAUGUGUCGUUGAAGCCACCAGAUUUGGCGACUGAAACAAAUGGUGCCUGGUUGUUGGAGCGAUUACAUGACCGUGAAUGUCCCGUGGUCCUCCAGAGCCUCCAGAGGAGAGCUAAGAACUCUGCUGACUCAACAUUAAGCAGAGGCCCGGGCACCCAUGAAGGACUCACACCACUUCCUGGAUGGCUGUGGCUGUGAACGUCAGGCCCUGCAGCUGGACGAUGGGAUCCACCAGGCUCUGGGGGUUCGAGCUGCUCCGGAAU